UUACGGUGGAGGCUGGACGACGGUCAGCGAUGGUUUAUCGUGGGGAUACGUGUGGUGAAUUGUAACCGCAUCUAUUCUAGCUGCCUGCCAUCGAGCUGUUAUGAUUGCUCUCUGGGAGCCUCUAUGGCAAAGUCACUGGUCGCUAGUGGCAGCAUCAAUAAAUCGCUAGUGACAGCAAAACAAGAGAAGAUGCAAUCAAAUAAGACCAUCCAAGCUACGGAGACUCUUCUUAUCAACACGGGAAACAUCAUCAAAUGCAAGCAGCUUACGAAGCAGCUUUUUGAUACACUGGCUGAUGAGAUGGUGGAGAGUAUCCGACACUGUCUAGCAUCUCUAGCGGAAAGUUCUGUCAACCAAAGCCCAGCGAAAUCGGUAGAGUAUACCCACGAGAAUCAUUCAUCGGUGGUAUCUGCUGAAGACGCAAAAAAUGUUCGAACUGUUGUGAAAGUUUUUCUAGCCCCUGGAGAUGACGACGCCCUUCGCCAGGCGGUUGAAAAAACUUUGUCCCAGUUGUGUCUACAACGAAUCGAUCUACUUCUGGUGGCCUUCGCCCACCCCACUGGCAGUCACAAGCUCGAACUGCAUCAUAUGCAGCCCACCUGGAGCGUAUGCGAAAGCCUUGUUUCACAGGGUGUAGUGGGCAGCGCGGGUGUUGCCGACCUUGACGUCACUCAGCUUCGCGACCUCUAUCAGUGGGCGUCGAAACGCGUCAAGCCGACAACGAAUCAACUGCACUUCGAAUCGGCCAUCGCCCUAUCCGCCGAGAUGACAGAGUUUGCCGCUGAAUAUAAUAUUCAACUCUUGACACACGCUGAUGAGAUAGGCACUGCAGGACCUGUUAACGUAAAAAGGAUGCUUGAUGGAUUCAAAGAUGAUGCUGACAAGUGGCAUUGCUCGUGGUUGACGCGAUACACGGUCACCUUCCGCUGUCGGGGCGUUCUCCACUCAAAGGGCUACAUCGCUAAAAUUGAACGUGACAUCAGCACGCAGAAGACGCGUGGUCCCCAAUGAACGAGAUAUAUCCGAAAAGCCUCCAAGGAAGCCGAAAUAAAUAUACUCUCCGUAAGGCAAAUUGAUAACAGGACUUGAUAGUUGUUGCGGGAACUGAAGCUAAGGUGGAUACGUCGAUACGAAAAUCCAACGGGGCAGAUGAGCGAACACUAGGUGAAACCGGGGAUCAUGUACAAUCUACAUCAUUUACUCUGCCACAAGCUUUCCACCCAGGAUUCCAGUGAGCUAUAAUAGAUCGCUGACGAUGCAUAUAUACGGACGUCCAAAAGAGGUUUAUGCCAAAACAACAAUUAUAUAAACAACAUGUAUUGUAUUUCAUAAAAUUCGCUUGUAUAAUUCGUAUUGCGCUCGUGUGGACAUACUGCCAUAGCCUGUUUAAUUAACAUUACAUACGUGAUUGUAACACAUACGCUGGGAGCUAGCUGGUGGAUGAUGUCGAACGCAUAACGUUACGCUAACAAGAAACCUUUAUUCAAAAAAGAUCGAUUUUCGCGCGAAAAACUUUACCCUACUUUAUCUAAAGGCAACGUUUUUUUUUUUCGGGUAGUUAGAACACAGCGCCACAUUUCGCCAAGGACCAAUAGGCUGGUUAAUCACAUGUAUGUAGCGUACGUUAGUCAUGUUAAAUACCAGUUAAAAACCUGUGUACAUUUUACUCUAUAUUUGACAUAAUAAGAAAAUAAUUGACACAAUCUGAUGAAAACAUAAGGAAAAAAUCAUCUCACUUAAGCAGAAUUUUCAUACAGCCAAUUAUCAUCGAUAGAAGCAGCGGUUUGUAGGUCCUUCUUCUACUAUUAUCUAUAGAUUUAGAUGUUCUAGACGACCUGAGAAUAAAUAAAGGACUAUAGACCAAACAGUUGGUUAUGAUGGUGGUGAAAUGAUACGAUAGUAGCAACUGUAUGAACCGAUAUCUAAAGUCAACAAAAGUUAUUCCUUGAGCAAAAAAUUAUUAGACACAUAUAGCAGAAAUGAAGAACGAGCUAGUGGACAAAACCACUUCAAUACAAUGAAUGCUUUGAUCGUGCUUCAUUUUUUCGGUAGAAAUGUCUAUUCCAUGUGUAGACUAUAUAUAUAUAUAUCAAGAAUCCUUUGUUAUUUAAGGAUUGGUCCCGUGGUACACUCUUCGCAUUUUAUUCCCUUUAGGUUGCAAAAAAGGUUCUACCUGAUUGCUUUAUACCGCUGAAUUACUAUAAAAAUAGUAGAAAUGGUAAGGCGAUGAAAGGUUACGACAAUUAUCGUUUGAUAUAAAUACUAGGAAUAUAUCUGAGCUGUCAGACUAUGAGAACAGGUUCACAGGAUUUGAUUAAAAGUAAAACAAGAAACUUGCGAGCUAAGUGGCAGCGUCCCUUUGAGCAGAAACUUACGUCGUUCAUAAAUUUACAUGUAUUACAACUUGAUCCGACUAAACGCUCAUCUAACUAAGCGUGACAAAUUUUAAUCAACGUAAAUGGACGCAGGAUAAUAUUGUGUUGGCAAUACGAAUGAACUAGAUCGUUUUUCUUUUUGUUAACCUGUGUUAAUUUCUUAAUUUUUUUUUUUUUUGUUUAUAUACGCAAUACUAGAUUUACGAAACUGUACGAGCAGGUAUUACAUACAAUAAUCAUUUUCAUCAAAGAGCAUUGCGAACGUUAUUGUUAAAUAAAUACAUUAUGUCGGCACUAACGAUAUGCGUACAGAUAUGAAACGUUAGAAAGCAGAGUCGAGCUAGACGGUGUUUGCGUGGAAAUAAAGCAAAACGGACCCGACGAAGAACAGACAAUAUGUUGAUUCAGCAAAGGAGAACAAGACGGGCCUUUGUGAUUUAUAACAGUUUCUGUUAAAUUUAUAUAUAUAUAUAUAUAUAUAUAUAUAUAUAUAUAUAUAUACUGCGUAGUACACCACUUUGAUUUGCGACUUAUCGCUGAAAUGUAGACACCGUAUGAAAUAUGCUAUUAUAAAUACUUCGUUAAAAAUAUUGGCAUAUUCCUAGAUAACAAUAAUCGUUGAUAGCGACUGCGCGAUCGGCCAGUUUCCUGAGACGAAACGAGUGAUAAAUGUGUAAAUACGAUGUCCUGAUUCCACGAUCCUUAACUCGAGAAAGAUAAGUAUUGCAGCUAUCGAAAAGCGUAUACAUACAAACAAUCAACUCAUUGAACGAGAUAGCGGACAGAAAGAUCGAUCUCUUUGUAGAGGUUUGCUGAGCACUUUACAGCGAGGCUUCACGUCACAGUGUUCGAAGUUUUCAUUAUUUAAAACAAGCAGGCUAUAGGUAGGCUCAAACCCAAACGAUACGUUUUUUGCCAAAGUAAAUCGACUGCUUCGUGCGUAUAGUACGUGCUCGAUGGCACAUGAAGAUCGCUUCGGGUUCUGUUCUCCAUGGUAAAGAUUAGCAUUCUAAAUCUUCCAAUCGGCUUCCUCGAAACAUUCCAGUCUCCAGUAUCCGCUCAAGAGAUAUGGCUAUGUAGGCGCAAGCAAAUAAGCAAAUGCCACCUUUGUACGACCUCCCUUACUAUGAACCUAUCACAUUGAUACGACUCCCUUUCUACGGGUAACUCUGCGAUAGGUAUUCGAAUCGGGAACUCGUACUUCUCAGUAUUUAUAGGUAGAUGAGGCUGCUCACAUUAGACCCUAGCAUCGUACCUUAGGAUUUAAUACGACACACCGUGCGCGCAUUAAACAGCAGUAGUGACAACAAAAAUUCAUUGUAACUUCGAGUUUAUUUAAAUUUAUUAAAUACGCAUAUACAAACAUAGAUACAGUAAUGACGUAUGAGUAAUCAUCGCAUCACUAUUAAAGCUCGUAAAAUAGACGAGGGGCAUAUAAAGGAAAAA